rnacentral:rRNA from 1 species
CCUACGGGUGGCUGCAGUGGGGAAUAUUGCACAAUGGAGGAAACUCUGAUGCAGCAACGCCGCGUGGAGGAUGACACUUUUCGGAGCGUAAACUCCUUUUAUAUAGGAAGAUAAUGACGGUACUAUAUGAAUAAGCACCGGCUAACUCCGUGCCAGCAGCCGCGGUAAUACGGAGGGUGCAAGCGUUACUCGGAAUCACUGGGCGUAAAGAGCGUGUAGGCGGGUUAUUAAGUCAGAAGUGAAAUCCUAUGGCUCAACCAUAGAACUGCUUUUGAAACUGGUAACCUAGAGUAUGGGAGAGGUAGAUGGAAUUUCUGGUGUAGGGGUGAAAUCUGUAGAUAUCUGGAAGAACACCGGUGGCGAAGGCGAAUGUCUGGCCAUGUACUGACGCUGAGACGCGAAGGUGCGGGGAGCAAACAGGUUUAGAUACCCCAGUAGUC